GUUAACGACCAUAGCAUAGAGGAAACACCUGGUCCCAUUCUGAACCCAGAAGUUAAGCUCUGCGCGCGCGUAUUUGUACUGCCUACGGGUGGGAAGAUUUGCGUGUUGUUAACA
rnacentral:rRNA from 10 species